ACCCUCUGUUUUUCUUUUCUAUAGGAUCUGAACCCUGCUCUUGGUGGCUGUAAAAGAAGGAAAAGAAAUAAUGAAGCUGGCCUCUGGUGGUGUAGCCUGGCUACACUGUGGGGCUGGUUUCAGACACCC
rnacentral:snoRNA from 1 species